GUCUACUUGUAUAUUUAAGUAGUCUGACCUGCUCGCUGAUUAUAUUGAAGAGCCGCGGUAUCAUGACCGUGCAAAGGUAGCAUAAUCGUUAGUUUCUUAAUUAGGAUCUUGUAUGAAUGGUUGGACAAGAGAAUAGCUGUCUUUAAAAUAUAAAUUGAAUUUAACUUUUGAGUGAAAAGGCUCAAAUGAAUUAAAGGGACGAUAAGACCCUAUAAAGCUUAAUCUUAGAUAAAUAAUAAUUUAAAUUUUAAUAAUAUAAAAAUUUACUGUGAAUCUUUGAUUAUAUUGGGGCGAUAGAAGUAAAAAAUUAGUAACUGCUUAUAACUUUCAGACAAAUAUAAGUGAAUUUAAAUAAAAGAUCCAUUAUAAUGAUUACAAGAAUAAGUUACUUUAGGGAUAACAGCGUCAUUUUUUUUAAGAGUUCUUAUCGAAAAAAAAGUUUGCGACCUCGAUGUUGAAUUAAAAUUUCUUUAUAAUAGCAGGAGUUAUAAAAGAAGGUCCGUUCGACCUUACAAUUUUU
rnacentral:rRNA from 1 species